rnacentral:rRNA from 1 species
AUUGAACGCUGGCGGAAUGCUUUACACAUGCAAGUCGAACGGCAGCACGGGGCAACCUGGUGGCGAGUGGCGAACGGGUGAGUAAUACAUCGGAACGUGCCCAAUCGUGGGGGAUAACGUAGCGAAAGUUACGCUAAUACCGCAUACGAUCUACGGAUGAAAGCGGGGGAUCGCAAGACCUCGCGCGAAUGGAGCGGCCGAUGUCAGAUUAGGUAGUUGGUGGGGUAAAGGCUCACCAAGCCGACGAUCUGUAGCUGGUCUGAGAGGACGACCAGCCACACUGGGACUGAGACACGGCCCAGACUCCUACGGGAGGCAGCAGUGGGGAAUUUUGGACAAUGGGCGCAAGCCUGAUCCAGCCAUUCCGCGUGCAGGAUGAAGGCCUU